rnacentral:sRNA from 1 species
UGCGGUUCCGGACCUAGUGGGGGUAACUGCAAUUAUAAUAAAGCUGCUAUUCUGACAUCAUAGGUAUUUGUACGGACGUAAGUUUUCAACUUACUUAGGUAAAUAACCGAAGGAUCUGACCACGGGAUCAUACGACAGGAGUGUGUGCAGUUUUGUAUGGAACAGCCAAUGUGGCAAACCAUCCUGAAUCUGCCCCAGCAAUAGAGGGACGCUCCUGUGGCCACAUCCGUGCCAGCACUUGCUAUAGCCAGUGUCGUGGACUUUACCCGUUUAUCAGGAAUAGAUCAUCUUUACCCUUUUCUUUAAUUUUCAGCUCCUUGCUGGCACAAGGUGAACCCUCUUCACAGGCUUGCUGUCUCUCACCUUUGUGUGGGUCACCUGAGGUCUUCAAAGCGUUUCCUAAAGACAGCUCCUUCCUUAGUUUGGAGCUUCGAACAUUUGCCUCAUGGUCUUUUGUUAUAUUUGCAAGUGUAUUUUCUCUCAGGACAUGACACUUUCCUUCUCACAGCAGAAGUUUUAAACGUAGUGAGGGUCCCUUAGCAGUUAUUCCUCAGGGAUCUUGGGUCUUACCACAUGGUUUGUCUAAGGGCUCUUCACCAAGCCCCAAAGGCUUUCUGCUGGGUGUUCUGUGGGUCUGCGUCCUCACUGAGCUGGUCUGUGAACCAGUUAGAGUUAAUUUUCAUGAAAUCUCUUCAAGUUUGUUUGUAAAAGCAUGCAGUCCGGUUUUCCCAGUAUUUACUGGAAAUGCCUUCUUCAUCGUGGAGCUACUGGGUCUUCCUUAGGGGUCAUUACUAUACUGAUGAGGGUCUCUUUCUGAACCACCAACCCCAUCAUUGGUGCUUCUCUGUCAUCAGUACUGUAACUCCAUAGUAGGCCCUCUGGGGGAUUUCAGGGCUCCCAUUUCUGUCUUCUUCAACACUGUGUUAUUUGUUUAUUGUUUGUUGAAUUCCUUAAGACUCUAGAAGGUUUAGAGAUGCAAAUGUUCAACACUGUUCUUGAAGGUGUUUACCAGCAGGCUUUGGGUUUUUACUUCUCUUCAAAUGUCCUUGGCACUUGGCACCUCCUUGUGUCAUUUCUAUUCCCCUUCUUGUUUGACUGUGUGCAUGAUGCCUUUUGUUUUCGUUAAGUUCUGGAAGCCAUCGAUGCCCUGGUUAGAUCAUGUAUACAACCCACUCUGUGUUUAGAGCCUGACAGCUGGAGACGCUGAGCGGCAAAGAGUUUAUAAGGUGUGGCUUUUGGCACGCUCAGUGAAAAACAAAACAACUAUAAAAAGGGAUUUCUGAGAACAUCGCGACUUAUGAGUAAUCCCACUCUUCCUGCGUGGUCUAAGAGCUACUGAUCCUCCUGGGAAGGGCAGGAUGCUUGGGCCUGGGAAAGAGACCUAUGCUAUGAUGAGAAAAUCCAAGGGAGGAGGUGACUGGGCCACUGUGCAGGCCUGAAGGCUGCUGCCUUGGCUCGACAGUGAAGGUCUUGGGGACUCAGGGUAUGAUGAAGGACCUAGAACCCUAAUAACAUUAUUACUGGGAGUUUUGUGGAGUGACUGGUGUGGUCAUCAUGAGAAACAAUGAGGAAUUUUAGACCAAUAUUUAUGAGUUUUUUAAAUUAUUAUUAAUGUUUUGCUUCUGCCCUUAGCCUUCUGGGCACCAGGCCAUUAUGGACUAGAAAUCUCUGGAAAACAGUUGCAUAAAGGUUUGCUUAUAAUUUUGAAGGUGUCACAGACCUCCUGAACUUCUGUGAGCCUACCCAUUGGAAACAUGACUGAGAAGUCCCUUUUCUGAAAGACACGUUGCCACACGUGCAUGUGGGGGCUGCCAAAGCAUGUUACAGAGGUGUGUACUCUUCGAACUGUGAUGUUUUUCUACUAAUGUCAUAGACCAAAGCCUGUCAGCAAACUAUGGCCUAUGGAUCCAAUGAAACCAGAGACCUGUUUCUCAGGUCCUCCAUUACUGGCUGUCCAGCCUGCUCAUUCCCCUCCCCACAGCCUUCUGACUUCAGACUACCAUGCUCUAUAGCCCUGAUGAUUUCUCCUGAGUGAUGCUGGAGUCAAGACCACCCCAGUCUCCUUUUUCCACGUGUGUCUCGACAGAGAGACUCAACAGAGUGUGGGUCCAGCUUAUCAUCAAAGCAUCCUGACCCGAAACCCACCGCUCUGUGUACAAAUCACUGGGUCUGCACCCGAGAAAAGGUGGCGAAUCCAGAGUCCACCCCACAAUUCUCGAGUCUCAGACGACUCAGCUGUGUCAACAGGCGAGAGAAUCUUCUUGUGUAACGGCUAAGUAGAGCUUUCUUUAACUCUAAGCCCAAGAUGGUUGUCCUUUCUCAAAGCAGGGUUCAGAACACACGACAAAGGCAGGGCCAUCCACGUGUGCAGUGUCUCUCCUUAGCUCACUGCUCUCAGGGUAGCCCUGAGGGGUGCAUAGGUUUCACAGGUGGGAUUUCCCACACCACUGUACCAAAUGUGUCAUAGUGUCCAUUUCUGGUCAUUCGGGUCACCUUCUAUUUCCAGCAAACGAGCAACCAUAUUGUCUCGGGGGAGGGGUCUGUCCCCCUCCAAGACACCACUGAUGAUUCAGUCAGCCGGUGGACACAUUCCAGCCACCACUCCUCCUUAGUCUGUUGCUUCCUGGAGACUCAAGAUGCAUUCAGAUAAUCAUUAUCCUCCAGCCUUCACUGAUCCUGACAUCAUUAGGAGAUUCUUCCAUAGCUCCCAGAUGGAGGCUUGAGGUUCUCUGAGGCUACCUCAGGUUCUUUUCACUUAGAAAUUGGAUCUGGAAGAGCCAACUUCACCUAUUUCUUCCUUCAGGGCCUCCUAAACCCUUGGUUCAUUGAGGCUGUUAUUUGGGUACUGUCUGCCCACAUGAAACAUUGUCUCUGACAGGGCCUUCACAUCUCUAACUUAUUCCCCCAUCCCCCAUCUCCCCUCCUCCCUUCCCCUUCAGCUGAGGGGAAAUGUGACAGGAGAGAAGUGGGGACCGGGAUAGCUAGAGUACUUUCAGUCCUGAAUACUCAAGGUCAGCAGACUGUACACCGUUGGUGCUAUCUGCAUCCUGGGAACUCCAAGCGCCAUUCUGUUCUUGGGAGACCGAUUUUCUUUUGUGAGACCAGCAAGGCUGUAAAGUUGAGACCACAGCGUGGUUGAGAAAGAAACACGUCGGCAAGGGAGGUUUUUUUUUCCAGUGUUUGACUCAGAGGCUGAAGUUUCAGACAGACCAAUGCUGGAAAGCCAUUCAGUGCAUCCCAGGCUGAAGGGGAGAGAGAUUUGGCUCUAUAUCCCUAGAGGUAGAGAUCUCUGGAGAGAUCUCUCUUGCUCCAUGUUGUCUUUGUCCACUUCUGAGGCUGCUCCAUGCUCAAAAGGCUGGAUCUAGGAUGCACUGGUUGUCUCCUGGCCUCAGUCUUCCGAGGAGGACAGACCUUGUUCCUCUCCGAGGAGGGUAGAGCGCUCGUUACAGCUGGUGCUCCAGGGUAGCAGAAAUGCUUGAGCAAGUUGGUCGCAACUCCGUAAGAACCGCUGUUGCCCUCGCCUGGCUGUGGUUGCCAUUCAACGACAGGAGAGCAAAAUCUCGGAGUGGUUUUAUAAUGACAGCCGUAAAUGAGGGUGCUUGAGCCCCUUUAAAUCGUUUCUUCUAAAGUGACACGAUUGCAUUUGUCUCAUUUAUACAAAGGUCACCAAGCUCAUACCCAGCUAAUGAAUGGGAAAGCGUGAAGAACUUCAGACAGCGCACAGCGGACCUAAGAGGCACAGGUGGAGGAUGGCAGGCCCUAGUGUCAGGUGUCAGCAGAAUACCUGACGACUGUUGUGUUCUGUUAGGCCCCAUGCCCACCGGGUCCUGUCAAGCCUUCCUGUGUCUGCAACGGAAAUGUCUGAAACAGGCACACAAACUGUGAGUUUGAACAUUCCUAGCUGUGUGUGCUUUCCUGCCUGGACUUUGUGCUCCGUGUAAGCUAUGUGCUCCUAUCUGUGUACAAAGGGCAACAGAUUCUGGGAAACAAGUCGGACUUGCCCCUGUUUACCACAAACCAGCCAGCUAACAAGUGAAGGGUUGUGAAAUGGUAUUCCAGGUCACCCUUCUACACACACCAGAGAGGUGGCCCUGUGGAGACAGAGCCAAGUUCUUGGGAACAAAGAGCUCCUGGGCAGUGGGAUAUAUUGUCACUGUCACCGGCUCUGACAGUGUCCAGAGCAUGAAAGGUCUCUCGCUAUGAGAAUGGAAAGAUGUCAUAGAUGCCUUAGAAUGAAGCCUGCAGUGAGAAGGACUGGGCCAGUUUGCUCUGUUUCCUGUGGUCCUCGAGGUAGGCACCAUGGACCGGAGGAGCCUGGCUGCGAGGGCAGCAUGACAUGCUUGCUUGCUUCCUUCAGUCUGUAGAGGCUACGCCUCAUACGUGCCUCCAUCAUCCUUCUUCUCGAAGAACCAGCUGUCAAGUGAAGCUGCCACUGGCAUCCUGGUGACUUACGUCUACUCCUGAGAGUUUCCUCCUACGUCAAUGAUGCCUAUGCUGACAGGGAAGCCGUCAGUGCAUUAGCAAGGACUCACGGUCUCUCUAUAAAAUGUAAAGACGCAUGCCCGAGCUUUAGGAGCUUUCCCGGUUUUCUCUUAUCCAUCCUAGUAGGUGAAAGCUGCCUUCAAGGCUGCGGGCUUCGAUUAGCUUUGCGAAGAGAGUACAUUUGUAUUUCUUUCAAAAUCAUCGAAUUGGAAGACUAUUGAUCGGCUCUGACGUCAGCUGACCACUAGCGGUUGAAACCUACACACUGUGCCUGGGGGAGAGCCAGCGUUAUCUCACAACAUCAGGGCUUUGGGCAAGGAUGAGAGGGGAAAGACAGUUCUUCAAUAGGGCACUACCGGGAAACUAAAAUAAAUCCCUUUUUAAAAUGUGUUGUUUUCCUUUCAGAAGAAGACUGGCAAUCAUUUCAAGCAACUAUGUAUCAAGUGGAGGCAGAUGCCAGGGUGUCGGAACACAGCUUACGACACUGGUGCGGGCGUACACGUCAUCUGCAGGGUUUCCCUACCUUGCCACCAGUGUGGAAGAUGCAAUCAUUUCUGGGAUCCAUCUCGUGUUUACACUGAGCGUGUGACUCAGCCUGCAGAUCUUCCAGUGGCCUGCUUUCUGAAACAUCAGGACAGUUGCAAAAAGAGGCAAGGCACCUCUGCCUUGUGGUGGAUCUGGGGAGCAUUUCAAAACUGGGUGCAGGAGGCUCACCCAGCUGUUGGGGCGGGGGGGGGGGGAGAGAGCUGUGAGAACGCUUUCGUCUGCAGGCUCACCUGCCUCACCAGGCCUCUUCACUGCCUCUGCCCAAGAUGUGAGCACUCGUCCCAUUCACCCUCUGCAGGCCACGUUCUACUCCCUCUAGCUGGUUCACAGUUAACAGCAGCCCAUGCUCCUACCCACAGUAGUUAACUUCUGUCCAGGUACCUUGGACAGGAGGUUUGGUGUCUCUCAACCACAGUUGCCAGGCCAAGUAGAGGAGUAGGCUCUUCUGACGCUGGCCACAGUUCUACCAACUGCUUGCCAGACUUGAAUGCAGGCUUCUGUGUAAGGGUCUCUUAUGCUAUGCAGUUGAUAAUUCAGGCCUAAAUAAAAUGUCUUUGACAUGCA